CACCGCGUGAGGGAAGAAGGCCUUCGGGUUGUAAACCUCUUUUCUCGAGGAAGAAUUUUGACGGUACUUGAGGAAUAAGUCUCGGCUAACUACGUGCCAGCAGCCGCGGUAAUACGUAGGAGGCAAACAUUAUCCGGAUUUACUGGGCGUAAAGAGAGCGUAGGUGGUUCCCUAAGUCAGAUGUGAAAUCUUCUGGCUCAACCAGAAGAUGCCAUUUGAUACUGUGGAGCUUGAGGGCAGCAGAAGGAAAUGGAAUUCCCAGUGUAGCGGUGAAAUGCGUUGAUAUUGGGAAGAACACCAGUGGCGAAGGCGAUUUCCUAGGUUGUUCCUGACACUGAGGCUCGAAAGCGUGGGGAGCGAAGCGGAUUAGAUACCCGCAUAGUCCACGCCCUAAACGGUGGACACUAGAUAUGGGAAGUAUCGACCCUUUCUGUGUCGAAGCUAACGCUUUAAGUGUCCCGCCUGGGGAGUACGGCCGCAAGGCUAAAACUCAAAGGAAUUGACGGGGGCCCGCACAAGCAGCGGAGCGUGUGGUUUAAUUCGAUGAUACACGAAGAACCUUACCAGGGCUUGACAUGUCAGGAGUAGGAGUCCGAAAGGAGGACCACCUGUAUCCAGUC
rnacentral:rRNA from 1 species